rnacentral:rRNA from 1 species
UCGAGCGAGCUUGCCUAGAUGAAUUUGGUGCUUGCACCAGAUGAAACUAGAUACAAGCGAGCGGCGGACGGGCGAGUAACACGCGGGUAACCUGCCCAAGAGACUGGGAUAACACCUGGAAACAGAUGCUAAUACCGGAUAACAACACUAGACGCAUGUCUAGAGUUUAAAAGAUGGUUCUGCUAUCACUCUUGGAUGGACCUGCGGUGCAUUAGCUAGUUGGUAAGGCAACGGCUUACCAAGGCAAUGAUGCAUAGCCGAGUUGAGAGACUGAUCGGCCACAUUGGGACUGAGACACGGCCCAAACUCCUACGGGAGGCAGCAGUAGGGAAUCUUCCACAAUGGACGCAAGUCUGAUGGAGCAACGCCGCGUGAGUGAAGAAGGGUUUCGGCUCGUAAAGCUCUGUUGGUAGUGAAGAAAGAUAGAGGUAGUAACUGGCCUUUAUUUGACGGUAAUUACUUAGAAAGUCACGGCUAACUACGUGCCAGCAGCCGCGGUAAUACGUAGGUGGCAAGCGUUGUCCGGAUUUAUUGGGCGUAAAGCGAGUGCAGGCGGUUCAAUAAGUCUGAUGUGAAAGCCUUCGGCUCAACCGGAGAAUUGCAUCAGAAACUGUUGAACUUGAGUGCAGAAGAGGAGAGUGGAACUCCAUGUGUAGCGGUGGAAUGCGUAGAUAUAUGGAAGAACACCAGUGGCGAAGGCGGCUCUCUGGUCUGCAACUGACGCUGAGGCUCGAAAGCAUGGGUAGCGAACAGGAUUAGAUACCCUGGUAGUCCAUGCCGUAAACGAUGAGUGCUAAGUGUUGGGAGGUUUCCGCCUCUCAGUGCUGCAGCUAACGCAUUAAGCACUCCGCCUGGGGAGUACGACCGCAGGUUGAAACUCAAAGGA